rnacentral:rRNA from 1 species
CCUACGGGGGGCUGCAGUGGGGAAUAUUGGACAAUGGGGGCAACCCUGAUCCAGCCAUGCCGCGUGUGUGAAGAAGGCCCUCGGGUUGUAAAGCACUUUCAGUGAGGAAGAACGCCUGGUGGUUAAUACCCAUCAGGAAAGACAUCACUCACAGAAGAAGCACCGGCUAACUCCGUGCCAGCAGCCGCGGUAAUACGGAGGGUGCGAGCGUUAAUCGGAAUUACUGGGCGUAAAGCGCGCGUAGGUGGCUUGAUAAGCCGGUUGUGAAAGCCCCGGGCUCAACCUGGGAACGGCAUCCGGAACUGUCAAGCUAGAGUGUAGGAGAGGAAGGUAGAAUUCCCGGUGUAGCGGUGAAAUGCGUAGAGAUCGGGAGGAAUACCAGUGGCGAAGGCGGCCUUCUGGACUGACACUGACACUGAGGUGCGAAAGCGUGGGUAGCAAACAGGAUUAGAUACCCCGGUAGUC